UCAUCAACAGAACAGUCGAUAAAUCCAGCGUUUCAAUAGAUCGCACUUGGAUUGAAGACUAUGAGGAUGAUAACAGCAACAUCUGGACAACUGCUUCCACGUUCAUCACCUUGUUCUUCCUGAGUAUUUUCUACAGCGCUGCCGUCACUCUGGUGAAGGUUAAGUGAAUGAAUUGUGGACCU